rnacentral:rRNA from 1 species
UGUGUAGGUGGUGGUAUUAGUCUCCUGUUAAAGACCGGGCCCAACCCGGGAGUGCGGGGAAACGGUACCACUAGAGGGUGAGAGAGGUGUACGGAACUCACGGUGUAGGAGUGAAAUCCGUUGAUAUCGUGGGGAACACCAAAUGCGAAGGCAGUACACUGGCUCAUUUCUGACACUGAGACACGAAAGCGUGGGUAGCGAACG